UUAAGCUACAAAGGGCAUAUGGUGGAUGCCUAGGCGUUCCGAGCCGAUGAAGGACGCGAUAAGCUGCGAUAAGUCAUGGGGAGCCGCAAGUAGGCUUUGAUCCAUGAAUCUCCAAAUGGGGCAACCCGAUACGAGUCAUGUCGUAUCAUCCAUGUGUGACAUGGAAGGCACACCCGGUGAACUGAAACAUCUAAGUAGCCGGAGGAAGAGUAAUCAAACGAGAUUCCCUCAGUAGCGGCGAGCGAACAGGGAAGAGCCCAAACCGGACGUCUUCGGACGACCGGGGUUGAGGACCAGCAUCAAGGGAAGGCAAGAUAGUCGAACAGUCUGGGAAGGCUGAGCACAGACGGUGAAACUCCGGUAGACGAAAUCUUACCCAACGGGCUGGUAUCCAGAGUACCACGAGACACGUGAAACCUUGUGGGAAGCAGGGUGGACCACCAUCCAAGGCAAAAUACUACGGAACGACCGAUAGCGCAUAGUACCGUGAGGGAAAGGUGAAAAGAACCGCGGGAGCGGAGUGAAAUAGAACCUGAAACCGUAUGUCUACAAGCAGUCGAAGCACUUUAUAUGUGCGACGGCGUGCCUAUUGAAGAAUGAACCGGCGAGUUAAUUUCAGAGGCGAGGUUAAGCAGGAGAUGCGGAGCCGAAGCGAGAGCGAGUCUGAAUAGGGCGCAAGUCUCUGGGAUUAGACCCGAAACCACAGUGAUCUAUGCAUGGCCAGGUUGAAGCUCAGGUAAAAAUGAGUGGAGGACCGAACCCGUGAGUGUUGAAAAACUUUGGGAUGAGCUGUGCAUAGGGGUGAAAUGCCAAUCGAACGUGGAGAUAGCUGGUUCUCCCCGAAAUAGCUUUAGGGCUAGCCUCAGGUAACACAUGGAGACGGUAGAGCACUGAUCGGGUAAGGGAGCGUAAAGCUUACCGAGCCUAGUCAAACUGCGAAUGGCUUCAUGAGAAGAGCCUGGGAGUCAGAAUGCGAGUGAUAAGACCCGUAUUCAAAAGGGAAACAGCCCAGACCGCCGACUAAGGUCCCGAAUGCUGUACUAAGUGGAAAAGGAUGUAGGACUUCCAAAACAACCAGGAUGUUGGCUCAGAAGCAGCCACCAUUCAAAGAGUGCGUAAUAGCUCACUGGUCGAGAGGCCCUGCGCCGAAAAUAUCCGGGGCUCAAGUACAGAACCGAAGUCGCGGGAUGCGCAAGCAUCGGUAGGGGAGCGUUCCAAGCAGGUUGAAGGCAGACCGGAAGGACGGCUGGACAGCUUGGAAGUGAGAAUGCUGGUAUGAGUAGCGAAACGAUCCGUGAGAAUCGGAUCCACCGAAAGCCUAAGGGAUCCUGAGCAACGCUCGUCGUCUCAGGGUAAGUCGGGACCUAAGCCGAGGCAUAAAGCAUAGGCGAUGGACAACAGGCGAAAAUUCCUGUACUGCAUGAUGUUGUUUGAGGAUGGAGUGACACAGCAAGGAGCUUGAGCGCGCGAUUGGAAAUGCGCGUCGAAGGCGGUAGGCUGGUAUAGAGGCAAAUCCCUGUACUAAGGCCGAGAACUGAUAGAUAGGAGCGUACUUCGGUACAAUCCAAAUUCAAGCGUACUACACUGUCGAGAAAAGCUUCUAACGAGACAUCAUGUACCCGUACCAAAACCGACACAGGUAGGCGGGGAGAGAAUCCUAAGGUGCGCGGGAAAACCCUCGUUAAGGAACUCGGCAAAAUGCAUCCGUAACUUCGGGAGAAGGAUGGCCGGAGCUGGUGAAGACCUUCGCGGUUGGAGCUGGAGCCGGCGGCAGAAGAGAAGCCCAAGCGACUGUUUACCACAAACACAGGUGCCUGCUAAAGAGAAAUCUGACGUAUAGGUGCUGACACCUGCCCGGUGCUGGAAGGUUAAGAGGAGAGGUUAUUCGCAAGAAGAAGCUUUGAAUUGAAGCCCCAGUAAACGGCGGCCGUAACUAUAACGGUCCUAAGGUAGCGAAAUUCCUUGUCGGGUAAGUUCCGACCCGCACGAAAGGUGUAACGACUUGGGCACUGUCUCAACGAGGGACCCGGUGAAAUUGAAAUACCUGUGAAGAUGCAGGUUACCCGCGACUGGACAGAAAGACCCCAUGGAGCUUUACUGCAGCCUGACAUUGAUUUUUGGCAUGUAACGUACAGGAUAGUUGGGAGACGGAGAAGAUAGGCCCCCAGGCUUAUCGGAGUCGCUGUUGGGAUACCAACCUUUAUGUGCUAGGGAUCUAACUCGAGAAGUAACGAAGCUGAGGACAGUAUCAGGUGGGCAGUUUGACUGGGGCGGUCGCCUCCGAAAGAGUAACGGAGGCGUCCAAAGGUUCCCUCAGCGCGGACAGAAAUCGCGCGAAGAGUAUAAAGGCAGAAGGGAGCUUGACUGCGAGACAUACAGGUCGAGCAGGUACGAAAGUAGGGCUUAGUGAUCCGGUGGAAUGAGAGUGGAAUUGCCAUCGCUCAACGGAUAAAAGCUACCCUGGGGAUAACAGGCUAAUCUCUCCCAAGAGUUCAUAUCGACGGGGAGGUUUGGCACCUCGAUGUCGGCUCAUCACAUCCUGGGGCUGAAGCAGGUCCCAAGGGUUGGGCUGUUCGCCCAUUAAAGUGGUACGUGAGCUGGGUUCAGAACGUCGUGAGACAGUUCGGUCCAUAUCCAUCGCGGGCGUAAGAUACAUGAGGGAGACUGCUCCUAGUACGAGAGGACCGGAGUGGACGGACCGCCGGUGUACCAGUUGUUUCGCCAGAAGCACAGCUGGGUAGCUGCGUCCGGAAGGGAUAAACGCUGAAAGCAUCUAAGCGUGAAGCCCGUCCCGAGAUGAAGUAUCUCAUAGCACAAGCUAGUAAGACACCUUGAAGAAGACAAGGUUGAUAGGGUAGAUGUGGGAGUGCCGCAAGGCAUGAAGCUGACUACUACUAAUAUGUCGAGGGCUUAACUAG
rnacentral:rRNA from 1 species